rnacentral:rRNA from 1 species
GACGAACGCUGGCGGCGUGCUUAACACAUGCAAGUCGAGCGGUAAGGCCCUUUCGGGGGUACGACGAGCGGCGAACGGGUGAGUAACACGUGGGUGACCUGCCCUCAGCUCUGGGAUAAGCCUGGGAAACCGGGUCUAAUACCGGAUAUGACUCCAUGACGCAUGUUGUGGGGUGGAAAGCCUUGUGCGGCUGAGGAUGGGCCCGCGGCCUAUCAGCUUGUUGGUGGGGUGANGGCCUACCAAGGCGACGACGGGUAGCCGGCCUGAGAGGGCGACCGGCCACACUGGGACUGAGACACGGCCCAGACUCCUACGGGAGGCAGCAGUGGGAAUCUUGCGCAAUGGGCGAAAGCCUGACGCAGCGACGCCGCGUGAGGGAUGACGGCCU